rnacentral:rRNA from 1 species
AGUGGCGGACGGGUGAGUAAUGUCUGGGAAACUGCCUGAUGGAGGGGGAUAACUACUGGAAACGGUAGCUAAUACCGCAUAACGUCGCAAGACCAAAGGGGGGGACCCUCGGGCCUCUUGCCAUCGGAUGUGCCCAGAUGGGAUUAGCUUGUUGGUGGGGUAACGGCUCACCAAGGCGACGAUCCCUAGCUGGUCUGAGAGGAUGACCAGCCACACUGGAACUGAGACACGGUCCAGACUCCUACGGGAGGCAGCAUG